rnacentral:rRNA from 1 species
UACGGAGGGUGCAAGCGUUAUCCGGAAUCAUUGGGUUUAAAGGGUCCGCAGGCGGAUUUAUAAGUCAGUGGUGAAAGCCUAUAGCUCAACUGUAGAACUGCCAUUGAUACUGUAAGUCUUGAAUUCGGUCGAAGUGGGCGGAAUAUGACAUGUAGCGGUGAAAUGCUUAGAUAUGUCAUAGAACACCGAUAGCGAAGGCAGCUCACUAGGCCUGGAUUGACGCUCAGGGACGAAAGCGUGGGGAGCGAACAGGAUUAGAAACCCCUGUAGUCC